rnacentral:rRNA from 1 species
AACGUAGGAGACAAACGUUAUCCGGAGUUACUGGGCGUAAAGGGCGUGUAGGUGGUAUCGUAAGUCUGGCGUGAAAUUUCUCGGCUUAACCGAGGCAGGUCGUCGGAUACUGCGAGGCUAGAGGACGGUAGGGGCGGGUGGAACUCCGGGUGUAGCGGUGGAAUGCGUAGAGAUCCGGAAGAACACCGGUGGCGAAGGCGGCCCGCUGGGCAGUGGCUGACGCUGAGGCGCGACAGCGUGGGGAGCAAACAGG